rnacentral:rRNA from 1 species
CUGGCUCAGGAUGAACGCUAGCUACAGGCUUAACACAUGCAAGUCGAGGGGCAGCAUUAGAUUAGCUUGCUAAUUAGAUGGCGACCGGCGCACGGGUGAGUAACGCGUAUCCAACCUUCCCCCUGCUCAGGGAUAGCCCGGUGAAAACCGGAUUAAGACCUGAUAGUUUCACUAGAUGGCAUCUGACGGUGAAUAAAGGUUUCGGCAAGGGAUGGGGAUGCGUCUGAUUAGCUUGUUGGCGGGGUAACGGCCCACCAAGGCGACGAUCAGUAGGGGUUCUGAGAGGAAGGUCCCCCACAUUGGAACUGAGACACGGUCCAAACUCCUACGGGAGGCAGCAGUGAGGAAUAUUGGUCAAUGGGCGGAAGCCUGAACCAGCCAAGUAGCGUGCAAGGAAGACGGCCCUAUGGGUUGUAAACUGCUUUUGUGCGGGAAUAAAGUCAGGGACGCGUCCCUGUUUGCAUGUACCGCAAGAAUAAGGACCGGCUAAUUCCGUGCCAGCAGCUGC